rnacentral:tRNA from 1 species
GGACAUGGCGGAAUGGCAGACGCGCUAGACUUAGAAUCUAGUUCCUAGGAGUGUGGGUUCAAGUCCCACUGUCCGC